rnacentral:rRNA from 1 species
GAUGAACGCUGGCGGCGUGCUUAACACAUGCAAGUCGAACGAAGCACUUUAUUUGAUUUCCUUCGGGACUGAUUAUUUUGUGACUGAGUGGCGGACGGGUGAGUAACGCGUGGGUAACCUGCCUUGUACAGGGGGAUAACAGUUGGAAACGUCUGCUAAUACCGCAUAAGCGCACAGCAUCGCAUGAUGCAGUGUGAAAAACUCCGGUGGUAUAAGAUGGACCCGCGUUGGAUUAGCUAGUUGGUGAGGUAACGGCCCACCAAGGCGACGAUCCAUAGCCGAACUGGGAGGGUGACCGGACACAUUGGGACUGAGACACGGCACAAACUCCUACGGGAGGCAGCAGUGGGGAAUAGUGCACAAUGGGCGAAAGCAUGAUGCAGCGACGACGCGUGAGCGAAGAAGUAUUUCGGUAUGUAAAGCUCUAUCAGCAGGGAAGAUAAUGACGGUACCUGACUAAGAAGCACCGGCUAAAUACGUG